rnacentral:rRNA from 1 species
UGCGUAGGCGGGUCUUUAAGUCAGGGGUGAAAUCCUGGAGCUCAACUCCAGAACUGCCUUUGAUACUGAGGAUCUUGAGUUCGGGAGAGGUGAGUGGAACUGCGAGUGUAGAGGUGAAAUCCGUAGAUAUUCGCAAGAACACCAGUGGCGAAGGCGGCUCACUGGCCCGAUACUGACGCUGAGGCACGAAAGCUGGGGAGCAAACA